CAUUAACGGACGUCGCUUCAAAAUGAUGCUCAGAGGAGCGGAUUUCUCAUUCCUCUAAACGCCUGUGGUUUCCACUCCGCUCACCUCCCCUCGAAUCUCCUGUUGGCGGAAGCUGUCGAUGGAGAUCUGAGCGAUGACAUUUUGUCUGCUGGCUCUGAGCGCAGAAAUCAGGAAACUCAUACCGGUGGCAUUCUUCACCGUCAUGAAAAGAAGGACGUCUGGUGAUGGGACACAGAUCUGGCCUCAUUUGUAAAACAGUGUGUGUUGUUGUAUUAGUUUGAUGCUGCUGCCUUAGGAGGACCAGCAGUAUCAGAAAUAAAUGCCUUAAAGUUGA